UAGGGAAUCUUCCACAAUGGACGCAAGUCUGAUGGAGCAACGCCGCGUGAGUGAAGAAGGUUUUCGGACCGUAAAGCUCUGUUGUUGGUGAAGAAGGAUAGAGGUAGUAACUGGCCUUUAUUUGACGGUAAUCAACCAGAAAGUCACGGCUAACUACGUGCCAGCAGCCGCGGUAAUCGUAGGUGGCAAGCGUUGUCCGGAUUUAUUGGGCGUAAAGCGAGCGCAGGCGGAAGAAUAAGUCUGAUGUGAAAGCCCUCGGCUUAACCGAGGAAUUGCAUCGGAAACUGUUUUCUGAGUGCAGAAGAGAGAGUAGAACUCCAUGUGUAGCGGUGGAAUGCGUAGAUAUAUGGAAGAAUACCAGUGGCGAAGGCGGCUCUCUGGUCUGCAACUGACGCUGAGGCUCGAAAGCAUGGGUAGCGAACAGGAUUAGAUACCCUGGUAGUCCAUGCCGUAAACGAUGAGUGCUAAGUGUUGGGAGGCUUCCGCCUCUCAGUGCUGCAGCUAACGCAUUAAGCACUCCGCCUGGGGGAGUACGACCGCAAGGUUGAAAC
rnacentral:rRNA from 1 species